UUUUUCUUUGUUAGUUUAUGUUUUCUGCGUUAAAUUUUUUCUUUUCUAGGUAGUUUUUGUUGUGUCUUGUGUACAGUUUUGCAUGUUUCUCUUGAUUUCUGGAUUUGGUUUAGGUUGUAGACUUGUCUUUCACUUCAUUGAUACUCUGAUUUGUUGGAUUCCUUGCUUUUCUUUGCUUGGAAAGAUGAUUAUGAUGUUUGAGGGUUGAAUUGAUUGUGAC
rnacentral:lncRNA from 1 species